CUCCUACGGGAGGCAGCAGUGGGGAAUCUUGCGCAAUGGCCGAAAGGCUGACGCAGCGACGCCGCGUGUGGGAGGAAGCUCUUCGGGGUGUAAACCACUGUUGCCCGGGACGAACGACGAGUUCUGACUCGUGUGACGGUACCGGGUGAGGAAGCACCGGCUAACUCUGUGCCAGCAGCCGCGGUAAUACAGAGGGUGCGAGCGUUGUCCGGAAUCACUGGGCGUAAAGGGCGCGUAGGCGGCUCGGUAAGGUUGCGGUGAAAGCCCGGGGCUCAACCCCGGGUCGGCCGUGGCAACUGCUGGGCUGGAGCACUGUAGAGGCAGGUGGAAUUCCGGGUGUAGCGGUGGAAUGCGUAGAGAUCCGGAAGAACACCGGUGGCGAAGGCGGCCUGCUGGGCAGUGGCUGACGCUGAGGCGCGACAGCGUGGGGAGCAAACAGGAUUAGAUACCCUGGUAGUCCACGCCGUAAACGAUGGGCACUAGAUGCUUGGGGGAGCGACCCUCCGAGUGUCGGCGCUAACGCAUUAAGUG
rnacentral:rRNA from 1 species